UGGAGGCUUGUAUGAACGGUUGGAUGAGGAAUUAACUAUUUUAUUUUAAUAAGUUGAAAUUUAAUUUUUAGUAAAAAUGCUAAAGUAUUUGUAUAAGACGAGAAGACCCUUUAAAUCUUUAUUAUUUUAUUUAUAAUUUGUUAUUUAAUAUUAGUUAUUAGUAUAAAUAAAAUAAUUUUAUUGGGGCGAUAUUGAAACUUAAUUAACUUUCAAAUUUUUUUCUUUUACAUAAAUAAAUGAAUUUUUGAUCCAUUAUUAAUGAUUAAUAAAUUAAGUUACUUAAGGGAUAACAGCGUCAU
rnacentral:rRNA from 1 species